CUUGCAGAGGGAUGCAGCACUCUUAAAAUUGCAAAGCUUCUGAAGCGUGAUCAUCGAACAAUCAAGCGUUUCAUUCAAAAUAGUCAACAGGGUCGCAAGAAGCGUGUGGAAAAACCAAGGCGCAAAAUAACUGCCCACGAACUGAGAAAAGUCAAGCAUGCAGCUGCCACGAUGCCACUUGCCACCAGUUUGGCCAUAUUUCAGAGCUGCAACAUCACUG